CACCAAAACAAAUUCCAUUUAUUUUGGAAAUCAAAGAAUCAGACGAGGAGAAAACUAACCGUAGUGCUAGAAGAAAGCAUGUGAAACUAUUUCAUAAAUGUGGAGUGGCGAUGACCAUCGUAAUUAUGACAUAAAACCUACUAGCACCAGAGACCAGAAGUAACAAUGGCUUAAAUAACACUGAGUUUAUUUUUUCCCCUCAUAUAAAACCAUCUGGAGGCAGACAGCAGAGGCCACUGUCCUUAUGCACUCAGGCUCCUAUCUUUCUGCUCACUGUCCUGGAUACUGGCUUCUAUCCAAAAGGUUGCCUCAUGGUCCAAGACGGCUGCGAGGACUCCAGCCCAUUAUUUCUGAAUCCAGGCAGGAAACAGGAGAGAGGAGGAAAGGAUAAAAAGGCUAUGCCCCAUGGGGGCUGGCCCCGUGGCUGAGUGGUUAAGGUCGCGCGCUCCGCUGCAGGUGGCCCAGUGUUUCAUUGGUUCAGAUCCUGGGCGCGGACAUGGCACUGCUCGUCAAACCACGCUGAGGCGGCGUCCCACAUACCACAACUAGAAGGACCCACAACGAAGAAUACACAACUAUGUACCGGGGGAGCUUUGGGGAGAAAAAAGGAAAAAAAUAAAAUCUUUAAAAAAAAAAAAAAAAGGCUAUGCCCCAGCUGUCUGUCGUCCUUUUAAAGAGCCUUCCCAAAAGUUCUACCCUUACAUUUUAUUGGCUAGAAUUUAGUCACAUGUCCCACAUCUAUCUGCAGGGAAGCACACUGCCGCUACAAAUAAAAUGAAGGUUCUGUAACUGAGUAAAAAGUGACUGAAUUUUGGGUGAGCAAAUGGCAUUCUUGCCAUGAGACACAUCCAGGAUUGGAGAUUUGUCAACUAGGUGUGGCCUGAGGACAGGGGAACAGAGGAGGCCAAGGAGCUAGUGAGAGCAGGAUGGAGAGUGGAGGGCUCAGCAGGGAGCUUGGAUAACCUGGAAGAGAGUGGAUUAUCAAGGGACAAGAGCUCAGUGAGGUCAAAGCACAGGUAUAGCAGAGAGAGAGAGAGAGCUGGAAGGAAAGAAAGUUGUAGCAUGAAAAUGAUACCAGUACUUAAUAUUUAGAGUUCUCAGUCCCAGUGAAUGAAAAAUAAAAGAGCAGGGAAUGGCUGAGUGGAGUGGAGUUCACUGGAGUGUGUUCAGAGGGUUGUCACCAUGCAUGAUGAGACCUCCAAGAUGGUGAUGGGUGGUGGAGAGGAGGUCUGUGGACCAGGGGCCAAAUCCCUUGGAAAGACCGCAGAGAGACUUGAGGAGGAUGUCGGGGGAGAGGGCACGGGGAGACAGCAGAGGAUCAGUGGAAGAGGAUGGAGAGGAACGGGCUGCAGUGCAAACACGGAUUCCAGUCAUGAGGUUCACAAGGUGGGAGAAAGAAACAGCCACCACCCAGAAGGAAAGCACAAGAAGCUGGUUUGUCAGGGCAGGAGGGACGGGUGCCUGUGACAAGAGGAGGGAAGGAGAGGGGUGCGUGGGCCAGGGUUCAGCAGUGGAAGAAGCAGGGUGGGGGAUGCACGGGGAGUCCAAGAAGGGAGAAGGAAGCAGAGGGAAAGGUUGGGAGAGAGGGCAGGGCAAAGGGGGUACAGGGUGCAGAGAAGAGCUGCUCUCCUCAUGUGGUGCUGGGGACAAUGGUAGAACAGAUGUGGGCGCGGAGUCCCAGGCCCUUCCCAGAGGGGUUUCGGCAGAGCUGCUCGCUGCUACGGUCUCUCCAAGGAUGGGCUCAGAGUAGGACGGAGCAGAGAAGGCAGGAGGAGAGAUGCCGUCCGUGGAUGGCACACUAACACCCCAUUUAUCCCCCUACAGGUCUGCGGACUAAAGCCAGAACCCCAGCCAGCGGAUCUUUCCACAACACUGAGGAGAAAUGCCAGAAUAUUGAGACUAAAGGGUGACGGCAUCCUCUACGCCUCCCUUGCCCUCUCCAGCUAGACCUCACCAGCAGCACCUCCCUGCCCCCCUCCCCAUGGGAGCCCCCAGGAAGAGACCCUAUACUCUACCUUCAAGGCCUAAGGAGCGGACUGAGGGACAACUUCCUUAGGGUAAGCUGUGCAGAGGGUCUCAGCUUCCAAUAAUAACCCCGGCCACACACACGACUCAGAAGCCAGCAGGUGUUGAAGGCCACCAGGGACCUGAGACCGAGCCAUCUGCUCCAGUUCCCUCUUCAACUUCCUAGCCUUACCCACCAAAAUAAAAGUACCCAGAGAAUUUUCCUGAAUGCAUCUAAGGAGAAAACUGACAUCCCCUUCAACUUCUGUCCUUCUCGCUCACAAUGAAUUCUAAUCUAUAGCUCAAAGCCAAGAUCCCUCCUCCAGUACUUUUGUUCAGUGACCGCCUCAGGCCAGGGAACAAUAAUCCCAAAAAUCCCCUGUAGCCAGCCUGAAACUCAAGGACUGCCCCAAGUCGAACCAUUCUCCUUCCCUAAGGAAAAUAAGUAGCAGGUAUCGUGUAAGUGCUUCACAAGCAUCACUUCAUUUAAACAUCAUCAACGACCCUAUCUGGUAUUAGAUGUUCUCACUUGAGGCAUGAAAACAAGAACCAGAAUGGCCACAGUGCUUUUCCUAAGGCCACAUAGCUAGUAAGUGACUGAGCCAGGACUUGAACCCAGUCUCGAUGUCCUUCUCCCAGGACUCAGGGGUCACUGCCUUCCCAGCUUCCCAUACUGAGCAGGCCUCCUCCGAGAAACAAUGAUGUGACAUGUUGACAUGGAGGAGGAGGGGCAAAGCCAAAAGGAAGCACCUGGUUAGAGAUGAACCAAACCAAUUAAACCAGUAGCCCGUUUUAUUAACACAUAAACUGCACAACUCCAAAUUUAGCCAAUUAACCUUGGGGCCAAUGAACAGCCCCAGCACUUAUCAGCUUCUCAGGGACCGUCUGAGAGGCUGUCCCUCCUGCUCCCAGGGAAGGAGGGUGAGACAGCAGGAAGGAGAAAAGAGCACACAACUAUUCCUCAAAGAAGGCCAUGAUGAGCUCCUCUGCGUUGUCUCUAUGCAGCAGCUCCUCCCGCUGGUCCGGCUCUUUUCCAACAUCUUCUGUGAGUUGGUCCAGGUCCAGGUCACUGGAGGCUUCAUCGUCAGGGGAGAAAUUUCCAGCCUCCUGAGGUGGUGGCUCCUGGUGUCUAGGCCCUUCUUACCCCACCACAGGACAGGCCUUGCAAUGAGCUGGUGGGGUCAGGCCUUUUGGCACCAUUCUAGCUUCUUGUUCCUCAGAUGAGCUGAUUACUGAGGCCUUACUUUGGGGAGCUUCAAAUUUUUUCUUAGGGCCUAAGUGAAAAAGUGACAAAGCUGAGAUUCCUAUUAGGUCAUCUGUUCUUACCUUUCACAAAGCAAACUCCUAAAUUUCUAUGUCCAAAAAAUCUCUGGAAAUGAUGACCUAUCUCGGCAGAAUGAAUAAUGGGCUUUGGAGUCACAAAGACCUGGAUUCAAGCCAUGGACAAGCCAUAUCCUAGACAUGGGUCUUAAGCAGAUUUUACACACUUUGAGCCUCAGUGUCCUUAUCUUUAAAAUGGAAAAUAUCUAGUUAUAAAGAUUUUGAAAUAAUUAAAGGGAACAAACAUGGAAGUCUUUGUCUACCAGCCCACAGCAACACUCAAUAAAUGCUAGCUCCCACCUUCUUACCACCUUUCUGUCCCUGGGUUAAAUCAAAUCAAUAACCAUUAGGUUUUUAUAGUGUGUACUGCAUUUAUAUAAAAUGCUCAGUUUAAACCACAAAAAGCAGAAAAAGAGUGGAAGACAAAAACAGGAACAAGGACAAGGGCAACAAAUAGAAAACAGUAAUGAAUAUCGUAG
ensembl:lncRNA